rfam:Hordeum vulgare subsp. vulgare, WGS project CAJW01000000 data, contig: morex_contig_127904
UUCCUACUCUCUCUGUCUGGAAUUACUUGUCGUUAAAAUAAAAAGAAAUAGAUAUAUCUAGAACUAUAAUAUGUCUACAUACAUCCAUUUUUAUGACAAGUAAUUUCAGACGGAAGAAGUAUCAC